GUCUAUGGCCAUACCACCCUGAACGCGCCUGAUCUCGUCUGAUCUUGAAAGCUAAGCAGGGUCGGGCCUAGUUAGUACUUGGAUGGGAGACUGCCUGGGAAUACUGGGUGCUGUAGGCU
ensembl:rRNA 5S_rRNA 5S ribosomal RNA